GAUGAACGCUGGCGGCGUGCCUAAUACAUGCAUGUCGAACGAGUUCUUCGGAACUAGUGGCGGGCGGGUGAGUAACACGUUGGUACCUACCCCGAAGUGGGGAAUAACUGGGCGAAAGGUUGGCUAAUACCGCAUAAUACCGUAAGGUUAAAGCAGUAAUGCGCUUCGGGAGGGGCCUGCGUCUGAUUAGCUAGUUGGUAGUGUAAUGGACUACCAAGGCGACGAUCAGUAGCUGGACCGAGAGGUUGACCAGCCACACUGGGACUGAGAUACGGCACAGACUCCUACGGGAGGCAGCAGUAAGGAAUCUUCCACAAUGGACGAAAGUCUGAUGGAGCAACGCCGCGUGCAGGAUGACGGCCUUCGGGUUGUAAACUGCUUUUAUAUGGGAAGAUUAUGACGGUACCAUAUGAAUAAGGACCGGCUAACUACGUGCCAGCAGCCGCCGCAG
rnacentral:rRNA from 1 species